ensembl:lncRNA
GAAGAAAAUGGUUCCUCAUUUUUGCAGUUGUGACAAAUCCAGCCUGUCCUCUAAAAGAGCAGACCUGCUCCAAUAGGAUGGAUGCAUAGAAUGCAGUAAUGGAAAAUAAGCCUCGUGAUGCCCUCAGGCUCUAGCACUGACUCCUCCACGGCGUGCAGCCUGGCUCGGAGAAGGACUCUCACAGCCAAAUUCCUAUAGCCUGCUGCAGUCCUUCUUUACUUUCCAUUCAGUCCUACAGGAAAAAUUCCUCUGACUUCUGCCAUAUCUACCUUUGCCUUUGAAUGUUUUCAUUGGAUUGCUACAUUUCAGAUUAAAUUUAAAUAGC